AUCACUUCUUGGCCUUUUGGCUAAGAUCAAGUGUAAUACACGGCAUGUGCUCAGUAUAUAGAAACCAUUAUCACUAAAAAUUUUGUUCAUUCAUACUUGGCUAUGACGUGUUUAUGUGUUUAUUAUUUUUCCUAUAAUCAUAAUUACC
rnacentral:snRNA from 2 species